AGUGAACGCUGGCGGUAUGCCUAACACAUGCAAGUCGAACGGCAGCACAGUAAGAGCUUGCUCUUACGGGUGUCGAGUGUCGGACGGUUGCGUAAUACAUCGGAAUCUACUUUUUCGUGGGGGAUAACGUAGGGAAACUUACGCUAAUACCGCAUACGACCUACUGGUGAAAGCAGGGGAUCUUCUGACCUUGCGCGAUUGAAUGAGCCUAUGUCGGAUUAGCUAGUUGGCGGGGUAAAGGCACACCACGGCGACGAUCCGUAGCUGGUCUGACAGGAUGAUCAGACACACUGGAACUGAGAAACGGUCCAGACUCCUACGGGAGGAAGCAGUGGGGAAUAUUGGACGAUGGGCGCAAGCCUGAUCAAGCCAUACCGCGUGGGUGAAGAAGGACUUCGGGUUGUAAAGCCCUUUUGUUGGGAAAGAAAAGAAGCAGGUUAAUACCCCACUGUUAUGACGGUACCGAAAGAAUAAGCACCGGCUAACUUCGUG
rnacentral:rRNA from 1 species